UCUGGUGGCUGGAGAAAACUGAAAAAGAAAUUAGGGAUCAUGUCUCGAUUUAUUUCAAGCUUUUCAGAAUGAGUCUACGGAUUAUAUAUGGUGGCAGGACAUCUUUUUGUAGAAGUACUUCUUUUUGCAGUCAUUGUUUUUCUAUUCUCCCAGAAAAGUUACAAGCCCCCUAAGAAGCCUUUAACAGAGAAGGUGCUUGCGUAAAGUGUGUGAUUCAUGGAGCUUAUUUGUGGAAUUUCCACCGAGUGGACAAGCUAUAAAUCGAUCAUCUUGCAAGAAAAGAAAAGUUUCAUUGAAUGGGUCGAGUUUCUGUGGAGCAGAUUUGGAGCAGUGAAUGGGAAAAAGAACAAGCAUGUGCUGAGAGGAGAAGAAAUCUCACUUGUAGCAUAGUUAAACCCUGCCUUCUAAUAGAAUCUCAAGAUGUCCAAUGUUAAAGGUAUUUUCUACUAACUUUCAUCACUCCAUGAGAUGUAGAUUUAAG